UACCUACGGGAGGCAGCAGUGGGGAAUAUUGCACAAUGGGGGGAACCCUGAUGCAGCAACGCCGCGUGGGUGAAGAAGUACUCCGGUAUGUAAAGCCCUGUCAGCAGGGAAGAAAAUGACGGUACCUGACCAAGAAGCCCCGGCUAACUAUGUGCCAGCAGCCGCGGUAAUACGUAGGGGGCAGGCGUUAUCCGGAUUUACUGGGUGUAAAGGGAGCGUAGACGGAAAGGCAAGUCAGAAGUGAAAGCCCAAGGCUCAACCAUGGGACUGCUUUUGAAACUGUCAAACUAGAGUACGGGAGAGGG
rnacentral:rRNA from 1 species